CCUUGUAUACAGACACCACAUGUCGGCCGCAUCCUCCCCAUGAAGUUUUAUCGCAUUUCGAGCAGGUCACUUUAUAGCACAUCUUUUUGAUUUGCCGGGGAGAAGAAUAGAGAAGUUAGUAAAUUAGUUAAUAAGGAGAAGAGAGAUCGACUUCCGAUGAUGGUUGAGGGAGAAUGGAAUGCUUGGGUUUAUAUAGGGAAAAUAAGUCAAAUGUGAAAGGAAGUCAACACCAUGCUUGAGGUCUACGCACUCUCGUAAUAUAUAUAUAUAUAUAUAUAUAUAACAUCUUUGGAGGGAGAGGAAUCUACGACAUAAGAAGGGGCUCUCUCGACCGGUUAGAAUCAUUGCAAGAGAUUUCAUACGAGAUUUGACUAUCAUCUAUGACCACCACCUAUAUAAAAAUUCGCACAUGCUAAGUUUGGAGGAUACACCUAUCAGAAGGUGGGAGAAAGUCUCGCUAUUGAUUACUGACCUACAAAUCGAUAAUUAACAAGAUAUACAAACAUCCUAUCGUAUUUUUAAUUGUUAUUUAAUUGUUUUUUUAUUGUAAUUUUGUAAUCUCUUUAUUUUAUUUUUAAUCGCAUUUAAAAAAAAGUCAAAUGUGAGAGAUUAAGUUAUUUUUCUGAUAUUCUACAGGAACAAUUUUUGUUAUACGAUUACAGCAGUAGAAGGCUGUUAAUUUUAUUUUGAAAAAUGGCAAACAGAACAAUGAGAAAUUGAGAAGGUAAAGUAAUGCAUUUCCAUUGUGUGGAAUAUAACCUAUUAGAGUUUAUAAAUCGUGUUAUCGUAUCAUAUAAUCGUGUCGUGUCAAUUUAUGUUACGUGUAAUAUUAUUAUGAACGUGUCGUGUUAAUUUUUUUAGUCUAUUAUUACUAGUCCUAAUUAAAUUCACCAG
rnacentral:lncRNA from 1 species